UACGUAGGGUGCAAGCGUUAAUCGGAAUUACUGGGCGUAAAGCGUGCGCAGGCGGUUGUGCAAGACAGAUGUGAAAUCCCCGGGCUUAACCUGGGAAUGGCAUUUGGGACUGCAAGGCUGGAGUGUGGCAGAGGAGACUGGAAUUCCUGGUGUAGCAGUGAAAUGCGUAGAUAUCAGGAGGAAUACCGAUGGCGAAGGCAGGUCUCUGGGCUGACACUGACGCUCAUGCACGAAAGCGUGGGGAGCAAACAGG
rnacentral:rRNA from 1 species